ensembl:snoRNA
UUGACUGUUUAUGAGAACUGGGGGUCAUUUAUGACAUAAACUUGAUAUUACAUUCAAGAAAUCUGAAGUCUAU